UACGUAGGGUGCAGGCGUUAAUCGGAAUUACUGGGCGUAAAGCGCGCGUAGGCGGCUUUGUAAGUUAGAGGUGAAAGCCCGGGGCUCAACCCCGGAAUUGCCUUUAAGACUGCAUCGCUUGAAUCCGGGAGAGGUGAGUGGAAUUCCGAGUGUAGAGGUGAAAUUCGUAGAUAUUCGGAAGAACACCAGUGGCGAAGGCGGCUCACUGGACCGGUAUUGACGCUGAGGUGCGAAAGCGUGGGGAGCAAACAGG
rnacentral:rRNA from 1 species